rnacentral:rRNA from 1 species
GGGCCCGCACAAGCGGUGGAGCAUGUGGUUUAAUUCGAUGCAACGCGAAGAACCUUACCUACACUUGACAUCCUCAGAAGAAUUUAGAGAUAGAUUUGUGCCUUCGGGAACUGAGAGACAGGUGCUGCAUGGCUGUCGUCAGCUCGUGUUGUGAAAUGUUGGGUUAAGUCCCGCAACGAGCGCAACCCUUAUCCUUAAUUGCCAGCACUUCGGGUGGGGACUUUAGGGAGACUGCCGGUGAUAUACCGGAGGAAGGUGGGGACGACGUCAAGUCAUCAUGGCCCUUACGUGUAGGGCUACACACGUGCUACAAUGGUGCAUACAGAGGGAAGCGACCUUGCGAGAGUGAGCGGA